AUUGAACGCUGGCGGCAGGCUUAACACAUGCAAGUCGAGCGGAGAUGAGGUGCUUGCACCUUAUCUUAGCGGCGGACGGGUGAGUAAUGCUUAGGAAUCUGCCUAUUAGUGGGGGACAACAUUCCGAAAGGAAUGCUAAUACCGCAUACGUCCUACGGGAGAAAGCAGGGGAUCUUCGGACCUUGCGCUAAUAGAUGAGCCUAAGUCGGAUUAGCUAGUUGGGGGGGUAAAGGCCUACCAAGGCGACGAUCUGUAGCGGGUCUGAGAGGAGGAGCGGCCACACUGGGACGGAGACACGGCCCAGACUCCUACGGGAGGCAGCAGUGGGGAAUAUUGGACAAUGGGGGAAACCCUGAUCCAGCCAUGCCGCGUGUGUGAAGAAGGCCUUAUGGUUGUAAAGCACUUUAAGCGAGGAGGAGGCUACUGAGACUAAUACUCUUGGAUAGUGGACGUUACUCGCAGAAUAAGCACCGGCUAACUCUGUGCCAGCCGCCGCCGUAACAC
rnacentral:rRNA from 1 species